UACGAAGGGGGCUAGCGUUGCUCGGAAUCACUGGGCGUAAAGGGUGCGUAGGCGUGUCUUUAAGUCAGGGGUGAAAUCCUGGAGCUCAACUCCAGAACUGCCUUUGAUACUGAGGAUCUUGAGUUCGGGAGAGGUGAGUGGAACUGCGAGUGUAGAGGUGAAAUUCGUAGAUAUUCGCAAGAACACCAGUGGCGAAGGCGGCUCACUGGCCCGAUACUGACGCUGAGGCACGAAAGCGUGGGGAGCAAACAGG
rnacentral:rRNA from 1 species